AGCGGAGGAAAAGAAACUAACCAGGAUUCCCUCAGUAACGGCGAGUGAAGCGGGAAGAGCUCAUGUUUGAAAUCCAGCUCCCUCGGGGGGCUGGAAUUGUAACCUAGAGGAGCGAGAUCGCCUGCCGGCAGGGCCGCGGCUAAGUCCGAUUUGAAAAGGGUACCAAGGAGGGUGGCAGUCCCGUUCAUGCCGCAGUCCGGCCGGCGUAUGGCCCGCUUCCAACGAGUCGAGUUGCUUGGGAUUGCAGCUCAAAGUGGGUGGUAAACUCCAUCCAAAGCUAAACACGUAUGGGAGACCGAUAGCGAACAAGUACCGUGAGGGAAAGAUGCAAAGAACUUUGAAAAGAGAGUCAAAGAGUGCCUGAAAUUGCUGAGAGGGAAGCGAAGGAAAUUAGUGUCAGUCGAGGGGAUCUCGUAUCGGGGUUAGCGGCCCUGUAUCUUCGUACGGGGCCCUCUCCCGUUAUCCCCCGGGGUGUCAGGGGCGGGGGCGUAGCCGGAGGCGGCGGCCCAGGGUAAAGGUGCUCCGAGGUAACAGCCGGACGAAUGCAAUGGUGAAAAUAUUAAGACGCGUCUCGGUCGCGGCCGUCCCUGACGAAAUGGUUUUCUUUACCCCGUCUUGAAACACGGACCAAGGAGUCUAACAUGGUCGCGAGUACGGGGGUGGCUGAAACCCCCGUGCGCAGUGAAAGUGAACGCAGGUGGCAGGGCGUUGGGCCUGCCCAUCGACCGACCACGGCACCACGGGGCCGAAGUUUGAGUGUGAGCGAGUUGUUGGGACCCGAAAGAUGGUGAACUAUGCCUGGGUAGGGCGAAGCCAGGGGAAACUCUGGUGGAGGCUCGUAGCGAUUCUGACGUGCAAAUCGAUCGUGGGAUUUGGGUAUAGGGGCGAAAGACUAAUCAAACCAUCUAGUAGCUGGUUCCCUCCGAAAUUUCCCUCAGGAAGCUGCAACCGAAUAAUGUGAGACCAGUUUUAUCAGGUAAAGCGAAUGAUUAGAGGCUGCGGGGGAGUAACUCCCUCGCCCUAUUCUCAAACUUUAAUGGGUAACCCCGGGGUCCUUAUUGGACCUUGACAUCAUUUUUUUAUGAUGCUCUCGGAUGGUUGAAGAUGGUGCUAUGGGCAGUCCGGGUAACUGGAUGGCAAUCCGGAUGACCGAACGCCUAUUAAAGCCCUCCUGCCCCUCCCUAACCCAAAAAGUUUGGUCAUUUGAAGCAGA
rnacentral:rRNA from 1 species